rnacentral:rRNA from 1 species
CCUACGGGGGGCAGUAGUGGGGAAUAUUGGACAAUGGGCGAAAGCCUGAUCCAGCCAUGCCGCGUGUGUGAAGAAGGCCUUCGGGUUGUAAAGCACUUUCAGUGGGGAAGAAAGCCUUGGGGCUAAUACCCUCGAGGAAGGACAUCACCCACAGAAGAAGCACCGGCUAACUCCGUGCCAGCAGCCGCGGUAAUACGGAGGGUGCGAGCGUUAAUCGGAAUUACUGGGCGUAAAGCGCGCGUAGGCGGUCUGAUAAGCCGGUUGUGAAAGCCCCGGGCUCAACCUGGGAACGGCAUCCGGAACUGUCAGGCUAGAGUGCAGGAGAGGAAGGUAGAAUUCCCGGUGUAGCGGUGAAAUGCGUAGAGAUCGGGAGGAAUACCAGUGGCGAAGGCGGCCUUCUGGACUGACACUGACGCUGAGGUGCGAAAGCGUGGGUAGCAAACAGGAUUAGAUACCCCUGUAGUC